AUACGUAGGGACCAAGCGUUGUUCGGAUUUACUGGGCGUAAAGGGCGCGUAGGCGGCUCUGUAAGUCACUUGUGAAAUCUCUGAGCUUAACUCAGAACGGCCAAGUGAUACUGCAGAGCUAGAGUGUAGAAGGGGCAAUCGGAAUUCUUGGUGUAGCGGUGAAAUGCGUAGAUAUCAAGAGGAACACCUGAGGUGAAGACGGGUUGCUGGUCUAACACUGACGCUGAGGCGCGAAAGCCAGGGGAGCAAACGGGAUUAGAUACCCCGGUAGUCCUGGCCCUAAACGAUGAAUACUUGGUGUCUGGGACUAUUAAGUUCUGGGUGCCGUCGCUAACGUUUUAAGUAUUCCGCCUGGGGAGUACGCUCGCAAGAGUGAA
rnacentral:rRNA from 1 species